rnacentral:lncRNA from 1 species
AAUCUUCCACCAUUAUGCUAGAAGAAUAGAGCUUCUCCAGUAUAUCAGAGGUCAAAAACUUUUCAAACAGCUCCUUCUCCAAAGACUCAAGCAGAUAAAUCAGAUGUACCAUCUUUUCAAAAUUUUGUUUUGCAACAAAACUUCUUGCUACAUGAGUGCAGAAUGUAAUCAGACAUCUUCUGAGGGAUGGUAAAAUUGCUUUUACUCGUGCUCUGAUGAAUUCUAGAAAUGACUUUGGCUUAUCUUUUGGAGCUUCAUCUUUGUUUUCCUUGGUUUUGAUCAGCUCAUUUUCCAGAAAGAUAUGGUAGUGUGAGGCACCGUGCUCAAGCAAAUCAAUCAUAGAAUGCACACAAUGUUUCAAACCAUUUGAUGGUGCAAAGCACUCAACAAGCCUCUUCACGCGGUAGUCAAGAUAUAUAUCUUCAAUAUCAGGGGCAACUUUUAGUCGAUCCUUAUUUCCAAAUAAUAUAAUAUCUCCCAAUGGAGUA